rnacentral:lncRNA from 1 species
GGCAAUGCUUAUCAAUCCCAAGCUUUCCUUCGAGUUUAGCUAUCAAAAUAAUGCCAUUGGCAUCAAGUCCAUUUGGCAUUCCUUUGAAUCACUUCUCACUCUCAUGGAUCCUACAUCAAGCACUACAAAAGCUGCAAGAGGAGGAUUCAUGAGCAGUCGGACAUUGUUAUACAGUAAUUAACAAUAUGAUCAUAACACCAAUUUCCCCUACCUUAGGUCUGUCUAUUCUGAAAAACUUGAAAGUGCCCUUUUAU